rnacentral:lncRNA from 1 species
GCAAUCCACAAGGGCUGCUAUGAGCCACUCUGCCCACUCUGCUCUGGGAUAGCUCUGCUCUGUCUAUGGAGCAGUCAUUUGGCUGGACACUGUUGCUGUAAGAACUUGCUUUUCUUGAAUUGUUUCCUGAGCAAAGCCAAGAACUCUCCCAGGGUGAGCCCCAAUUCUGGGGUUCACUUGUAUCAGCCUGGCAACCAUGAAGGAAUAAACAACACUGAACAAGAUGAACAUGACAAAGGGGCUCAGUAAAAAUUGGGGCUCUGGAGCUAUAACACUAUGGAGCUCUAACUCUAUAAGGCUGUAGAGCUGUACAGGAGCCAAAGGCUCUUUUUAGAGCCAAUCAUCAUUCCUGGUGACUAAUAAUCUAAGCAAAACUGAGGGAAACCUUCACCCAGAUGCCAAUUUAAGACCAAUCAACACCAUAUGGCUUCGAAGGACAGAUCACACAGUCACUCUUCAUCACAGCUGGAGAAUCUGAAUUUACGAGUAUCUUGCAUCAAAACGCUGCCUCAGAGAGAACAGAAAGUGAAAAUACAGAUUCCUGAAAUCAUACAAUAAGAGUAAAUGGGGCAUAGGAUUGGACAGUUAAGAAGAUGGGUGCACCAAGCAAGUGGUAUGCAGUAAUUAAGCAAAGAAGCACAGAGAUCAGGUGUCCAACCCACUCAGACACGUGGAUUACGGCUGGAGGUGGGGCAGAGUAAGACGAAAUAUCGAUGCUCCUUCUGCUUUUACAAAGUGCCAACUUCAAAGACUUUCUUUAUAUUUACUAACCGAAUUCCUCAAAAUAUAACUGACACUUUAGAACAUGAAAGUAAUAGAAUGAUUAAAUUAGAAAAAAACAUAUUUUUGCUUGUGAAUGAACAUGAGUCUCCAGUUCUUAAUUCAUGAGGAUUUUACCAACAAUGCCCUCUUAGAAAAAGAGAGAAAAAUACAGUUUCAGCUAGAAAAAUCCUAAAAUGACUAAGUUUUUAUAAAACUACACAGAGAUUUGAGGCAGUAACAAUGUCAAGAAAAACGUUCCCAAAUACUUUCAGGAUUUUAAAUGUGGGCUCAGAGUUAAGUAGAAAGGAGUGGGAAACGCCACUGUCAAGACGAUAUAAAUUCACUUUCUGCUUCUCCAUACACAAAACUGUCUCUUUUAAGUCUGUACGGUCAGAUUCAUGCAAAGAGCAGAUUUAUGGAGACCAAUGUUCUGCUUGUAAGAGUAAACAAUCCAAACUAGGCUAAGAACACCGGAAAAGCUGGAAGCUGCAAAGAGUUCAAAUUGCUACAUGUCUAUAAAGUCACAACAAAACAGCUCCAGAGAAGGGUAAUUUGGGAGAAACAAAUGGGAAAAGGCAGGAGGGAGACUUUGAAAUGAAGAGCAACUGAGAGAAUAAUCAGGGAUGUGAUUAAGGUUGGCCUACUAAUAAGAGUACGGUUAUAGAAAAUACCCAUAUUCAAAGCCUUCCUCAUACAACUCCCAGAAUGAAGAUAUUCCUGCCAUUCCAGUCUCAGCUCAAAUAACCCCCUCUCAGGAAGCUUUUCCCUGAACACCCAGUUUAAAGUUGCCCCUCUUGUUCCUUUCCAUGGUAUCAUCCCGUUUCCUUUUCUCCAGAGCUGGCAAAAGAGACCUGUUUUAUGUUUAUUGUCUGUCUCCUCCUUCGCUACAUUAUAAGCUCCAUGAGGGCAGGGUCUUUCCUUGUCUGUCUGCUUCAUUACUGUAUCCCCAAGGCUUAGAACACUGCUGGCUACAAUAUAUAUUAGGUUCAAAAAUGCUGAAGCAAUAGUGCUAAUGAAAAAUAAUAUAAUAGGGGUGGCACCUAAAGAUCAUUUGGCCAGGCAUGGAGGCUCAUGCCUGUAAUCCUGGCACUUUGGGAGGCCCAGGUGGGCAGAUCACAUGAGGCCAGGAGUUCAGCCUGGCCAACAUGGUAAAACCCGUCUCUAUUAAAAAUACAAAAAUUAGCCAGGCAUGGUGGUGCACACCUGUAGUCCCAGAUACUUGGGAGGCUGAGGCAUGAGAAUCGCUCAAACCUGGGAGGCAGAAGUUGCAGUGAGCUCAGAUCGUACCACCGCACUCCAGUCUUGGUGACAGAGUGAGACACAGUUUCAAAAAAAAACAGCAAAUGUUAUGUAUACAAGUAUUGAGUUUCUGAAACCCAUAAAUUAAAAUAUAUAGUACUGGCUAAAAACAUAAAAUAGACUUUUAACACUAGAGCUUGACUAGUCUUUGGCUUUUUUUCAAGUAGUAUUAUUAAAAGCAGUACCAUUUAUGCCCCACAAUUAUGAAAAUGUAACCUGGUUUUAGUCUCUAACAAGAAUAAUGAAAGAUUUCACAAGAUAAUCAGAGCAGAAGGCAAUGGCAUUUCUCAAUAAAAUGUGGAAAAAAAAGAUUUCAAGAGUGUCCACAUUUCCAAUUUUUUUUAAAAAAAGAUGUGAAAUUGACAUACAAUAAAAUGUACAAUUCAAUGAGUUUUGAUAAACAUAUACAUCCACAACCAACACUCCAAUCAAGAUAUAAAACAUUUUCAACACCUUGGAAAGUUUCCUUGAACCCCCUUACUGUCAAUUCCCACUAUCUCAUAGGCAAUUACUUGUUAGGAUUUCUACCACUGUAGUUUAGCUUUGCCUGUCUUUGAACUUCAUGCAAACAUAAGAUUAAUUCGUACUGUUCUUUUUUAUUGAUGAGUAGUAUUCCCUUAUAUGAAUAUACCACAAUAUAUAUAUCUCCAUUCUCCUGUUGAUGGACAUUUCAGUUUCCAGUUUGAGCUAUUUUGAAUAAAGCUUUUAUAAAUAUUCUUUAAUAUUCUUCUAAAUAUUCAACCCUUUGUUGGUAAUAUUCAUUGAAAAAACUUCCAGUCUUGUGCUUGUCUUUUCAUUUUGUUUACAAUAACUUUGGUUGAAUAAAAGCAUAUGUUUACAACCA